GGCCUACGGGAGGCAGCAGUGGGGAAUAUUGCACAAUGGGGGAAACCCUGAUGCAGCGACGCCGCGUGAGUGAAGAAGUAAUUCGUUACGUAAAGCUCUAUCAGCAGGGAAGAAACACUGACCUUACGGUCAGCAGACGGUACCUGAGUAAGAAGCCCCGGCUAACUACGUGCCAGUAGCCGCGGGAAGACGUAGGGGGCAAGCGUUAUCCGGCUUUACUGGGUGUAAAAGGAGCGUAGACGAUGCGCCAAGUCUGGAGUGAAAUGCCGGGGACCAACCCCG
rnacentral:rRNA from 1 species